UGUUACUCGGAAAGAAAGCUCAGAAUAUGUAUAUUUUUUAAAAAACAGGUUUUGUAAGAACAAAGAAUUCAUUUUGUGAAUGGAAACCUGAUAGAUUUAAGAUAGUGAGAUCUGGACAAGGGUAGCAUUUACAUCGAUAAAAUGGUUAGUUUUUUAAUCUGGUUAUAAGGUUUAGUUUAGUCUAAAACUGUCAGAGCCGUGACUCUCUACAGUCAGAGGUUUUGUACGGCGCCUCAAUGAGUUUAUAUCACUGGUACACGUUCGGUGGAGGAACCAGACUACAUGUUGGAAGUGAUACCCGCCCCACCCUGACAGUGUUGCCCCCCUCCAGUGAGGAGCUGCAGCAGGAGAAGGUUACCCUCCUGUGUCUGGCCAACAAGGGCUUCCCCUCAGACUGGACUCUGUCCUGGGAGCUGGAUGGCAGCAGAACCAGCUUCACCUGGGAGGAGAGCAAGAGCUCUGUGAUGGUGCAGAAUGACGGCCUCUACAGCUGGAGCAGCACCCUGAGGAUCCCUGCAGACCAGUGGAGGAAGGUGGGCUCUGUGACCUGUGAGGCCUCCCAGGGCUCCCUGACUGCAGUCAAAGAGACUUUGAGGAAAAACCAGUGUUCCCAGUUAUGAGCUGAUUCACUAGAAGAUCACUAGUUUGUGUCUACUACUGCUGUCUGUGUUGUUUAAGCAUUUCUCUCUUUUUUCUUUCUUAUUUCUACUUUUGUUCUUAUACAACUUGAAGGUCUAAAUAAAAUUUACUAAAAAUAUUUGUCUGACUUUCUCACUUUUUACUUUGUACCAAAAUUAGUGCCCUGGACAUUUUCAAAAUAAAAUACCUAAUCUACAGUGAAAUCUCAAAUUUCAUGAAUGGUUUAAAGGACAGCAGUUAUGACUUUAUUGUUUUAGUAACAGUACUGAAAUAUGCUCUU